CACCGGAGGAUCUGACGUUGUGUAAUUUCUGGCUCCUCCCCAAAGUCAAAAUGACGUGAAAAGUGAACGUUUUGAAUGGAUUCAGGACAUCGAGGCCGCAGCACCAGCAAAACCAGAGACUCAGCGAAGUAGCAUCCCUUAGACCCAGACGGGAGCAGAAACGCGUCCUCACCCUCAUCCGAACGGAGUAGACUGUGCUGGGAUUAAAUGGCUUUUCAGUGAGCAGAAAAGAACCCAGAUGCAGACUCCGUCCUUCAAAAUCUACAGAUAAGUUGGUUUUGUGGGGAAGGGAAAAAAAGGCCUUUGUUUUAAGUAAGACGCUGUGAGGUCAGGGAAACACGGGGGCGGAUAAUCACACAGUCCUCAGAUUGGGAAGUGCAGCCGAGGGCUUCUCACGUACUAACAUUUUGAUAAAUCGCCAGGAAAGGGAGCUCCCCUGAGAAGGGGCUGCUGACUCUGUCUCCCCGUAAUGACUGUGAGCAAGAAGAGGGGGUCCCCUGGGCCGGGUGGAGCAGCUAGCACCCCAGGGGGAGACAGAAGAUGCCUCCAUCUGGGCGACAAAGCAGCAGCUCCAAGAUGUGAGUUACAGUUCAGUGGAAGAGCUCCAAAGGGGAUUCUGGAGCUGGAGAAACCACGCUGGCUGUUGGAUUUGACCCCUGCGUAAUGCCAGGGGAAACUGAGUCCUGGUGUCACAGAGGACAUUGCCUAAGAAGACAUGUGACACCAGUGCUCUGAUGUACAGGGUGGAUCCCUCUGAUGAUACCCGCUGGCCACGCUAAUAGGGCAACUCACCUGGGCCCCCGGGACCUCAGCCCGUCCCGUCCAGGACUGGGGUGCUCCUCCCCCUUAGAAGCCGAGCCAGAGCUUCUCCAAGCCGCUCCCUGGGGCUUGGUGGUGGUGAGGGCAGAGCACGGUGACGCGGGACAGGAACUCGGAGGAAGAGCACAGGAGAAGGAGGAGGAGGACCUGCGCUGAGCUGUCCCCAGCUGGGGGCCACAUCCUCGUCCUUGCCUGGCUGCACGCUCUAGUCUUAAGGGUCACAGGAGCGUGUGCCGAAGGCCGCAGAGGCAGCUCCCAGUGCCCCGGGACGCCUCCUCUCCUGGGCUCUGGGAAACAGGCGCUGCUGCAAGACAGGAUGUGCGACCUGUACGGUUGCCCAGCGCCGGCACUGACAAAGGCCCCACCCUGCUUUAUCACUGUCAUUACCUUAAACUUUCGAAUCGCUAUAAGGCCCGUUUUCAUUUUGCACACAGUCCUGCAACUCGGGCACCAAUCUUGGUCCUGCCUCCACCACCCCUUACCUCCAGCAAAGGCAUCUAGAAACUUCCUCCUGGUCGCUGGGCCGCCUGACGUCAUUUUAGUUACUACCGCAUUGCAUUUCCGGGCCUCACUGUCCCUCGCCAUGAGGCCUGCCCUGGGAACGGAGCUUCCGCAGGGUAGAAUGUCCUGUGAGAGGUUCUCCUUAGCCGGGGGGCGCUGUGCACCCUGUGAUCUGGGACUGGCGAUUCCCAUUGAGAAGUUUGUUAGAGGGUGAUUUCCCGUGGGAUUCCAUUUAAAUAGCCUGCUUUCCUAAUGCAUUUUAAAUGUGCUUCAGCAUAUUAAAAAUUUUUCACAUGCA